UACUCAUUUGUCACGGUAUCCUUACUUGAAA
rnacentral:piRNA from 1 species